UCCCAGGAUUCUCCCUGCACUGAACCCACAGCAGUGCAGUUGUCUCCCUGAAAGGCUGAGUUGAGGGCACAAGGGAGGGUGCCAGUCAAGAUUAGUCUUUGGGUCCCAGGCCAUACAAUUCUAUGGACCACUCAUCAGUUAGGACUCAGGAAUUCUCUUGAGCACCUGUACUCAGGCCUUGGAAAUGACUUGGUGAUGUUCCAGUUUCUAUGCCGAAUGAUCCUACAUCGCUUCUGGACCCCAAGCACGUGGUGUUGCAAGACGUUGGUGGGUCCCCAUGGGGAGAGAGCCCUAGCUAGGGUUAGGGUUCGGUCCAGGGAUGUCCCCAGAUGCAAAGCGACUCAAAUCUCGUGAUCUCCCUCGAGGGCUGAAGUGAGGGCCCAUGUGACAGUGCAGGUCAAGUGUAGUAUUAGGUUUCGACAUAGGGUUAGGUUUCAGUUGAGGGUUCUGGUUAGGGGUAGGGUUAGGUCCCAGGAGGCUCCUGGAACUGAGUCCACAGCAGUGCAGUUGUCCACAGCAGUGCAGCUGUCUGCACAGCAGUGCAGGAUUCCCCAAAGGGCUGAGUUGAGGGCACAUGGGAGGAUGCUGGUCAUUUUUAGUAUUUCCGUUCCAAUUCCAGACAAUUGUAUGGGCCGUUGGUCAUGUAGGCCUCAGCAAUCCUUUCAGGAAGCUGUAGCCGGGCCUGAGAAACGACAUGCUGAGGUUCCAGAGUGAUCCUGCACUGCUUCUGUACCCCAGAAAAUAAAAACGCCCUGGAAGAUAAGUGUAAUGCAUUGAGGUCUGUGAAAGCCACAAAGGAAGCAAAAGUCAAACAUCUGAAGGAGAAAGCACAUAACCUGGAAGAAUUCUAUGAACAAAGAAAAGUGCCUACAAAAAAGCAACAAAUUGAACAAACAUGGGAACGGCUGCAGCAGGCAGAGUUCACCUUUAGAUACCAGCUUGCAGUUCAUGAGAAGAAUGCUCAGGACAACUAGGGAUGACGCCUGCCCUGUUUGUUGUCUAGUAGACGACGUGGUGUUGCAACUCUUAUAGAAGUCCAUUAUUUUUCUGUAUCCAAGACUGGAUGGGAUGGAAGCAAAGAGGCUGCCUGAGGGAUACACGAGGCAGAAACCAAUCACUGCAAGAACCCUCCAAGGAGAGGGCAGUCUGGAUCCUGGGGACCUCCUCCGUUAACUGGACGAUUCUGCAUGCCUUACCCUGGAGACACCCCGCCCCCAUGGACUAUUAGGCACGUCCACCUCCUGAACCUUAGUGGCCCUGAGGCCACCCGGAACCCCUCCACCUGCAACACUUGAUGCAAAACCUUUACUGCCGAGUCUACGGGCUUCCCUGUUUCCCAGAUGGCAUCUGUUUGUGGUAACUUGAGCAGCUAAGCGUGCCUAAAGGCUAUUUUGUAUGCAAGAGUCCUGGUCCUUUCCCAGGAUUGCCUUGCAGGCUGUACCCCAUGGACCACCCUUCACCACCAGUCAUGGGCUAUAGGCCACAUCCCCCUCCUCC